ensembl:rRNA 5S_rRNA 5S ribosomal RNA
GUCUACGGCCAUACCACCCUGAACGCGCCCGAUCUCGUCUGAUCUCGGAAGCUAAGCAGGGUCGGGCCUGGUUAGUACUUGGAUGGGAGAAUAUUUCUCCUUCAUUUGAAUGUCAUUUUAGGCGUUGUUACA